GUACCAGGAGACCGUCAUGGACAGGAAGCAGUCCUGGGAGAGGGUCAGGGUCCAUGGCCUAAGUCUGCAGUUCUAGUCACCUCUUAAACUCUUGUACCCUCCAUCCUGAGUGCCUGUGGGAUUCUGGCAUCCAUCCCUGCCCCUUCUGGAGCCCACAGUCCCUUACCAGCUGGGGGUCAAUGUCCCCAAUGGAUUUGGCAUGGACUGCCUCUAGGAGUUCCUCCAGCUCUGACAGGGCCAGGCGCCCCCCUAGCCGUAGUCGGUCAGGCCCUGGUGGCUCCAGCAAGAAGAGGCGCUUCCAGAGGGUGUCCCGACGACAGUGCCCUCCAGCCAGUCGUACCAGCUGAGCCAGCCGUGCCCGUGCCAUGCCCACCUCUACAGCCAGUGGUGGGAACAGAGGAGCUGGUCCAGGGCCCAGAACAAGCCCUGAGGCCUCUCCAGGGCUACCAGCUGAACUCCCCAGAGCUUCAGGCUCAGGGGGCAGUCUGGGUGGCUUCCGGAACCGGCGCAUGUCAGCAGUGAGUCUGGGGAAUAGCUCUCGCUGGCUGGGUGCAGCACAGUGACAGACAAGCAGAGACACAUCAAAGUCAUCCUGGUGGCGAAGUCCCUCAGAGUCCAGGUAGGAGCCAGAGCUGUACAGUAAAGGUGGGGAAGAUGUCAAUUCUCAAAGAAACCCUACCUCUUCUGCCCAAGAAAA